rnacentral:rRNA from 1 species
GAUGAACGCUGGCGGCGUGCCUAACACAUGCAAGUCGAGCGGACAGACGCGGCGCUUGCUCGUCUGACGUUAGCGGCGGGCGGGUGAGUAACGCGUGUAUCACCUCCCUAUAAGUCUGUGAUCACUUGGGAAAACCGGAGCUAAUACCGUAUAAGCUAUUGAACCGGGUGGUGCAAUAGUGAGAGACGGUUUUGCUGUCACUUUUAGAUGGAUCCGCGCCGCAUUUGCUGGUUGGGAAGGUAAAGGCUUACCAAGGCGACGAUGCGUAGCCGACGUGAGAGAGGGAUCGGCCACACGGGAACUGAGACACGGUCCAGACUCCUACGGGAGGCAGCAGUAGGGAAUCUUAGGCAAUGGGCGAAAGCCUGACGCAGCAACGCCGCGUGAGUGAUGAAGGCCUUCGGAUCGUAAAACUCUGUUAUUAGGGAAGAACCGAUUUGGAAGGAAACAUGGAGGUAUUGACGGUACCGUAUCAAAAAGCAACGGCUAACUACGUG